rnacentral:rRNA from 1 species
CCUACGGGAGGCAGCAGUGGGGAAUAUUGGACAAUGGGGGCAACCCUGAUCCAGCAAUGCCGCGUGAAUGAUGAAGGCCUUAGGGUUGUAAAGUUCUUUUAUUGAUGACGAUAAUGACGGUAAUCAAUGAAUAAGCACCGGCUAACUUCGUGCCAGCAGCCGCGGUAAUACGAAGGGUGCUAGCGUUGUUCGGAAUGACUGGGCGUAAAGGGUGCGUAGGCGGCCAGAAACGUCUGAUGUGAAAUCCCUGGGCUUAACCUAGGAACUGCAUUGGAUACGGUCUGGCUAGAGUCCGCGAGAGGAAGAUGGAAUUGUGCGUGUAGAGGUGAAAUUCGUAGAUAUGCACAAGAACACCGGUGGCGAAGGCGAUCUUCUGGAGCGGUACUGACGCUAAGGCACGAAAGUGUGGGGAGCAAACAGGAUUAGAUACCCUGGUAGUCCACACUGUAAACGAUGAAUAUUAGAUGUCGGGGAGGUUACUCUUCGGUAUCGCAGCUAACGCAUUAAAUAUUCCGCCUGGGGAGUACGGUCGCAAGAUUAAAACUCAAAUGAAUUGACGG